CAAUAGCGUAUAUUAAAGCUGUUGCGGUUAAAAAGCUCGUAGUUGGAUUUCUGUCAAGGACAACUGGUCCGCCCUCCGGGUGAGCACAUAGUUUGGUCUUGACAUCUUGCUGGAAGCUGUUGCUGCACUUGGCUGUGUGGCGCAGUGUUCAGCACUUUCACUUUGAGGAAAUUGGAGUGUUUCAAGCAGGCACAUGCCUUUGGACACAGUAGCAUGGAAUAAUUAGAUUGGGCUUUUGCUCCAAUUUGUCGGUUUCUGGAGCUGAGGUGAGUAUUAAUGGGGAUUGUUGGGGGCAUCCGAAUUUAGCCGUCAGAGGUGAAAUUCUCGGAUCUGCUAAAGACGGACAACUGCGAAAGCGUUUGCCCAGGAUGUUUUCAUUGA
rnacentral:rRNA from 1 species